UCUGUUUUUAGUUUAAUCGUCCCGUUCUGUCUUGGAAGCUUAACAGAGUCAGUCCAGACCAUUAAGAGGGUUGAUUUGUUCUCCUGUACACCAUGUGACCCAACCCAUGCCGCAAGUGCUCAAUAAGCUGUGAACCCGUCCACGGUCAGGAAGCAGUGUGACACGGGGCGUCUCAACUCUUUUAUCCUCCUCUCCGACUUAUUCAACUGUGAACCCGUCCACGGUCAGGAAGCAGUGUGAUAGUCUAACGGGGCGUCUCAUCUCUUUUAUCCUCCUCUCGACAUAUUCAAUUCAUAUCUAACAUGACUUACGGCACAGAGAAAGAGGCACCGGAGUAGACGCCCAUAUAUUCAUCAUUUAUUCAGAUUUUAAAUAUGUACACCUUAGCCCAUUCUACAGUGAUUGCCAUAGAGAGUCAGUCCAGACCAUUCGGGGGCUGAUUCUAUCUCAUCUGCACCAUGUGACCCAACCCAUGCCGCAAGUGCUCGAUACGGUCUGAUGAGGAAGAUUUUGUCACCGAUUUAGGCAUGGCGGUAAUAGCAGCAAUUACCUGAGCUGUGAACCCGUCCACGGCCAGGAAGCAGUGUGAUAGUCUAAUGGAGCGUCUCACCUCUUUUAUCUUCCUCUGCGACUUAUUCAAGUAAGAAGAAUGUUAAUAUUUACGUAAUUAAUGCGCGUUAUUCUAUUACGUCUGGUGUCUCUAUGGCUGUCAAGAGACAAACAUUGCGGUCGACGCCAAUUUCAAUUGUUAAUUUCAAAAUAAUUAAUGCAGCCUUUUAGAAUAUCUUUUUCAUUUGGGCAUGUCCUUUUGGCAGGGGUCAGUGGUGUUAAAAUUCCUUCUGACUAUAUGCGAUCAUAUUUUAAACAUUAUGGCCUAAAAUGAAAUUGAGCUUACACUAGACGUUCUAACAAAUUAAUGAUACAAUAAAAUGAAAAUAUUCCUCUUAAACAAUGCACUGCGACUGGCAGAUUUCAUAAGCCACAUGUCAUUUUAUUUCAUAUUGCAUAUGGGCGAGACAAAAGGAUGGUCCGAUAAUGAAAUUUAUUAUGAUAUAAUUCAGUUGUUUGAUACCAUUUGUAUUAUGUUAUGCACAUAUAUUUAGCGUUACCUGUUCAGUUGAAUAAAUCUACGUCACCACCCUGUAAAGAAGACCGCAAUUUAAAUGUGUAUGGACCAUGGUCGAGGUGAACUUGUACACGUACACGACAUCCAUUUAUGAUGAGACACAAUGGUGUACGAAUGUGUGUG